rnacentral:tRNA from 1 species
GCCCGCGCCCUUCCCGCUCGCUCAGCAGCUGAUUUGUAAUCAGCAGGUCGUCGGUUCGAAUCCGACUGCCGGCUCCC